UACGGAGGGGGCUAGCGUUGUUCGGAAUUACUGGGCGUAAAGCGCACGUAGGCGGCUUUGCAAGUUAGAGGUGAAAGCCCGGGGCUCAACUCCGGAAUUGCCUUUAAAACUGCAUCGCUAGAAUUGUGGAGAGGUAAGUGGAAUUCCGAGUGUAGAGGUGAAAUUCGUAGAUAUUCGGAAGAACACCAGUGGCGAAGGCGACUUACUGGACACAUAUCGACGCUGAGGUGCGAAAGCGUGGGGAGCAAACAGG
rnacentral:rRNA from 1 species